rnacentral:lncRNA from 1 species
UGUUGCUUUUGGCCCAUGGUUGCGUGGUUUUCUGCUCUGUCCGGCUGCACUAAUACACACACUUCAGCACACGAGUCCUCACCAUCUUUCCAUGCGUGUAGGUGUCCAUGUUUAUUGAAAAGGGGGGUUUCAACUGUCGGCUUUUGCAGCAAUAUUUUCCUUUCUCUCUCCAAGCGUGACCAGACUGCUGGGGAAAGGUGCACCAGGGAUAGCACCGGAGUCUCAAGUCUUCUCCUGAGCCACAAAACAGACACCAUUCCCAGAGGGGGCUGCAGCUGUGCUGGAAAACACCCUUGCUCUGCAAAAGGAGGUGUUUCCAGACCUGGAGGGCAAGGCAUAUUAUUUAUAAUUUGUAUCAUUGUAGCACCUAGAGGCAUGAUCCAAACACACAGAGAGAGGCAGUUCCUGCCCCGAAGAACUUAGUCUAAAUAUACAGAGGUUGGGAUGGGCAAGAGAGCGACAAUGAAUAGAUGGGAAUAGACCUUAGGUUUCCUGACACAGUUCAGUGCCCUACCCAUUAGACCACGCUGUCUCCUCUGGGCUGAAUUUGGAUCUCCAUUGCAUUCCCUUCAGUGGAGCAACUUCGGAGUUAUCUCAGUAUACCGGCCCUAUUGGCUUUUAACUGAGCUUAAGGAAACAUUCUUUAAAUCCUGUGUUUUUAUGUUUUUCCAGAUGCAAUCAGCCUAAAUUGUUUUGGGUUAAAGAAAACAACAAGAAAGGACAAAAGUAAAGUCUGUGUGAGGGAGAGUGCAGUGUGUGUUUUCUCUAUGAACAAAAUGGCUGUGAAACUCUACCUGAAGGGAGAAUCCUUAAAAGUUAAACGGCGCAGUACCCAGAAAUCAGAAGGCAGUGCAGCAUCGUAAAUCCACAGAGCACAUCAUGAAAUGCAAAGCUUUUUAAAAAUAUGGGACAUUUUCUUUCCCUGCUGCUCUGAAAGCAUCGACAUGAUGAAACAGAACUAUUUUUUUUUAAGUAGCACUUUGUCUAAUUCCAUUUCCUUGCC